CGGCGGGCAAACCAUGCAGUCGAGCGAUGAAGCUUCCUUCGGGAAGUGGAUUAGCGGCGGACGGGUGAGUAACACGUGGGUAACCUGCCUCAAAGAAGGGGAUAGCCCUCCGAAAGGAGGAGUAAUACCGUAUAACAUACUUUAAUCGCAUGAUUGAAGUAUCAAAGAUUUAUCGCUUUGAGAUGGACCCGCGUCGCAUUAGCUAGUUGGUAAGGUAAUGGCUUACCAAGGCGACGAUGCGUAGCCGACCUGAGAGGGUGAUCGGCCACAUUGGGACUGAGACACGGCCCAGACUCCUACGGGAGGCAGCAGUGGGGAAUAUUGCGCAAUGGGGGAAACCCUGACGCAGCAACGCCGCGUGGGUGAUGAAGGUUUUCGGAUUGUAAAGCCCUGUUCUAUGGGACGAUAAUGACGGUACCAUAGGAGAAAGCCACGGCUAACUACGUGCCAGCAGCCGCGGUAAUACGUAGGUGGCAAGCGUUGUCCGGAAUUACUGGGCGUAAAGAGUGCGUAGGCG
rnacentral:rRNA from 1 species